GCGGCGGCGGCGGGGGGCUGCGGGUGCCCUGCCCUGCCCGCCCGCCGCGCCGCGCCGCCCGCCGCGCCGCCCGCCUGAGGCUGCGGGGGGGGGGGGGGGUUACGGAGGGAGCGGCGGCGGCGGAACGCAGUCCUCGCAGAGAUAAAAAUCCCUCCGAGUCUGUAACGUCUUCCCCAGCGCUGCCCUGGCUGGGCAACAGGGGCUCCUGCCUGCUGACACCGGUGGAGCGCCGCGGAGGAGAGGACCAAGGUACCCGAUGCCCCGCAGCGCUGCUGCCGAGUGCCUGCCCUGGAGCCCUGCAGCCUCCUGAGGGCACCUGGCAGCACGCUCAGGCACGUGCAAGCGGGGGUCCCAUCUCUGCCACGCUCACGCACGCCUUGGGGAGCCCAUGCCAGUGGCC